UCCAGAGUACGGCCAGACACGUGAAACCUGGUCGGAAUAUGGGGGGACCACCCUCCAACCCUAAAUACUACCCAGUGACCGAUAGCGUAUAGUACUGUGAAGGAAAGGUGAAAAGCACCCCGGGAGGGGAGUGAAAAAGAACCUGAAACCCUGUGCCUACAAGCACCUAGAGCACGUCAAUGUGUGAUAGGGUACUUUUUGUAGAACGGUCCGGCGAGCGAUUGUAUGCAGCAAGGUUAAGGACUUAAGGUCUGGAGCCGAAGCGAAAGCGAGUUUGAAAAGGGCGUUAAGUUGCAUACAAUGGGCCCGAAACCGGGUGACCUACCCAUGGUCAGGUUGAAGUGGAAGUAAAAUUCCAUGGAGGACCGAACCGACCUCCGUUGAAAAGGCGGCGGAUGAACUGUGGGUAGCGGAGAAAUUCCAAUCGAACCCGGAGAUAGCUGGUUCUCCCCGAAAUAGUUUUAGGACUAGCCUCAAGUUAGAU
rnacentral:rRNA from 1 species